AGCCUAUAAAAUACGAAGACAUGGUUGUAAACACAUCGACUGGUGGCAUAUAAUUUUUACAAUGGACAAGUUCCUAAAAGGUUUCAAUGGACAUCAGCAAGGAAAAUGCGAGAAAAAAAAGCAUUGUGGUCCAAGAAGAAGAAUGAGCAGUUUGGCAGACCAACAAUGCGGAAACUUGGCUGAAGUAUAGUGUGGGAUUGUUUCGAGAAAAGUGAGGAUGGGAAAAAAGCAAAAUGUCGCUUUUGUCAGAGAUCUUACAAAACCAGGGGCAACACCUCGACUCUUCUCGAUCAUCUGAAGCGCGCUCACCCCUCUUACAGCGAUUUAAUAAAUAACAACGAAAAAAUGUUGGACCGUGCUUUAAUGCAAAUGAUUUCUCUCGACGUGCAACCAUUUUCAAUCGUUGAGGACGCCGGAUUUCGCAAUUUGUUCUAUCGUCUGGACUCACCAUAUAUAUUACCGUCGCGGAAUACGAUGCAGAACGUGCAUAUGAAAAGUCUGUAUACGGAGUUAGUCGAAAAACUACAGAAUAUUUUAUGCAAAGUAGAUAGCUGCGCCGUAACAAUGGAUUGCUGGACAUCGAGGGCCAACCAUGGGUACUUGACUGUAACCAUCCAUUUUAUUGACGAAAAAAUCGAUCUUCAAAGUGCGGUGUUGUCAACCGAAAAGCUCGAAGAUCCCUCUAAUUAUUCAUCAGAAAACAUUGCCAGAUCCUUGCGCAAGGUUCUAUGUAACUGUUUUUUAGAUGGCAAAGUUUUGGCCAUAGUAACUUACAAUGCGAGAUCCAUGAUAAAGGCAUUUGAGAUUCUUGAAAAACGACACCCUGCUAUGCCCACUGCUUGAAUUUAGUGGUGCAAGACUGCUUGGCCCAAGAAUAUUUGAAACCACUACUAGUGAAGUGCAAGCGAAUUUUUACAUUUUUUAAAAGUAGCACGAUUGCCUACGAAAAGUUCAAGGAGGCUCAAGGUGCGGGCAGAGUUUACAGUCUCAUACAAGAAGUUUGUACUCGCUGGAAUAGCGACGAAAAAUCAUAUAUCGCCCGUACUGCCCCAUUUGAUUAUGUGACAACUCAGUGCUCGUCUAGUAGCAAAAUAACAACUUCAUCUAUAAUUCCUUUAUCAAACGGCCUGGUUCAAAUUCUCAUUGAGCAAUACGACAAUCUAGAGACAAAUGUUGGCAAGCAGGUCUGCUUAUUUUUGCACGAAAACGCAACUAGACUUGCCAUCACUUGCAUCCACGAUACAAAAAAGAAGGAUUUCGUUUGCAGAUCAAUGCUGAUCAAGGCGCCGUUUUGCUGGAAAACAUGUUGACUAAUUACAACGGAGAAAAACUUGAAGAACCGGAAGCAGAACAGCCAGUACAAGUCUCACACGAGAAAACACUGCGUAGGUUUUAUAAAAACCAAAAUAGAAAAGAAACAAUAAAGUCGACGCAAUAGUCGUUCUUCGACAAUAUUUUGAAAAAAUGAACACCGGAAAUGAUUGCAGCCCAUUAGAGUAUUAGAAGAUGCUGUCGAACUGACCGAACAAUUUCCAGAAGUGACACGCCCAGACAGUACCAAGGUUGAAGCUCUGCUAGAUUCUGUCGAACUGACCGAACAAUGUCCUCAAGACCCCCGUUAUCUACCGAGACCCCUGUUUAUGAUAUAAGAAAAUUAUCAAUUCCCAUUUCUCAACAAAGAAAGAGCAAGCAACAUUUCUGUAUGUAUUGUAAAAAGCUUCAAACAAAAUUUGCAAGACAUCUGCAAGUAAUGCAUAAAAAUGAAAAGGAGGUUAAAAAAAUGUUGCUUUUCCGAAGCUUCACGCAGAAAGAAAAAAAUUGAUCAAAAAAUCCGAAAAGCUGGUGACUAUCUGCAUAACACAGAUCAAGCAUUCAACAGUGGCACUUUAAUAUUAACUCGUCAAAAAAGAGCUAAUUCGGGAAACACUGCAAAUCAUGUCGCGGAUUUUUCCAAAGUCUACCAUUCGCUGUCACGCCAAAAACUGUAAUCUAAAAACCGCCCGUAAUAUAUUAAGGGAUGGCCGCGUUAUGACUGGAUUUAUGCACGAAGCAGCAAAAGACAUUCUGCGCAAGAAAGUUAUGCCAGUGCUAAGAGACGGUUUGGU